AUUGAACGCUGGCGGCAUGCCUUACACAUGCAAGUCGAACGGCAGCACGGGUGCUUGCACCUGGUGGCGAGUGGCGAACGGGUGAGUAAUAUAUCGGAACGUACCUUAUUGUGGGGGAUAACGCAGCGAAAGCUGUGCUAAUACCGCAUAAUCCCUAAGGGGGAAAGCGGGGGACCGUAAGGCCUCGCGCAAUUAGAGCGGCCGAUACCUGAUUAGCUAGUUGGUGAGGUAAAGGCACACCAAGGCAACGAUCAGUAGCUGGUCUGAGAGGACGAUCAGCCACACUGGGACUGAGACACGGCCCAGACUCCUACGGGAGGCAGCAGUGGGGAAUUUUGGACAAUGGGGGCAACCCUGAUCCAGCAAUGCCGCGUGAGUGAAGAAGGCCUUCGGGUUGUAAAGCUCUUUUGUCAGGGAAGAAACAGCAGCUCUAACACAGUUUGCGAAUGACGGUACCUGAAGAAUAAGCACCGGCUAACUACGUGGCAGCCGCCGCGGUAA
rnacentral:rRNA from 1 species